CGAAAGGUUAUUUCUUUUACAACUAAUUUGGGCAGUUUUACUGCCCAUCUUCAAUCUUCAUGCUAGUAAUAAUUACAAAAAUAUUUAUACAAUUGCUAAAAUAAUUAUUAAAGUAAUUGUAGGCAUUAAUGUAUUUAUUUUCAGCCUAAAACGUCGCAAAAGUAACAGAAACCUUUCGGAGGUCACGCAUGUAGGGGGUCAUGGGAAAAAAACUCGGAGUAGAAAGGGGGCUACUGGAAAUUUCCCUGCAUAUGCUGGGGGGUCAAGACGAAAUUAUCAAUGAAAGCACCCAAAACCACCAGCCCCCCCCCCUCCUGAUAAAAAAU